AAAAAAUUGAGACCUUCUGUUUAACAUAUUUACAGAAAGUGUAAUCAUUUGAAAGAUUCCUCAAAGUUAUUAGAAUUGAUGUAUGUCAUUUUUAGCAAGUUAAAUGAAUGCAAGAACAAUUCGAAGGACACCUAUUAUGUAUUGGUUGAAUAUCCUUUAAAUUUGCUGCAUAGGAAAGAGUAAAUAAUUCAAUUAUACGACGGG
rnacentral:lncRNA from 1 species